rnacentral:lncRNA from 1 species
CCAAGACUCUGAGCUCCAUGCUACCCACAACAGCAGCUCCAGUGUAUGGGACACGCUGUGCCUGAGUGCCAAAGAUGUAAUGGCUGUGUAUGGGCUAUCUGAAGAGGCCGGGGUGAGCCCUCAGGCCUGGGCCCAACUGACCCCUGCCUUGGUCCAGCAGCAGCUAAGUGAAGCCUGCAGCUCCAGUCCCAUUAUCCAUGUACAGGACCAGCUCAGUCAAGCAGAGAGUGAGUCCCUAACCCUGGGUGCUAGCCUCAUGGUAUUGAGCUCGACGAGGGAGCAGGGAGUAGGCACUGAGGAAUGAGGAACCAGCAAAGGAGGGACAGAUAGUGGAUUUCAAGGCUAGAGGGCCAGUGUAAAUAGAUACCUGGCACCUGCUGACAGCCCACAGAUCUGUUGAGAUCCGGCUCACUUCCUGGCUGGACUUGGGCAUUGGCUCUGUAGGAUCUAGGGGGAAUCUCAGUGUAGCUUCACCCACAGGGUAUCUGUAUGGCUCUCUGGCCACCCUGCUCAUCUGCCUCUGCGCUGUGUUCGGUCUUCUGCUGCUGACCUGUGCCAAAUGCAGCACAGCCACCCACUACAUCAUGCAGACCUUCCUAAGCUUGGCUGUGGGUGCACUCACAGGCGAUGCUCUCCUGCACCUGAUACCCAAGGUCAGCCCUCACUCAACAGGGUCCUCCCACCCCCACUGUCCUUUCCUAGCCCCAGCCUAAAGCCCCCUGUAUCCCUGAAGUCCCCAGUCGGUACCCACCCCCUUCUCAGGUGCUGGGAUUGCACACGCAUAGUGGAGAGGUUCACUCCCACGAGGAGGAGAGCAUUGGUGGACAGUCCACCUGGCGCCUGCUG